rnacentral:rRNA from 1 species
UACAGAGGUCUCAAGCGUUGUUCGGAUUCAUUGGGCGUAAAGGGUGCGUAGGCGGCGCGGUAAGUCGGGUGUGAAAUCUCGGGGCUUAACUCCGAAACUGCAUUCGAUACUGCCGUGCUUGAGGACUGGGAGAGGAGACUGGAAUUUACGGUGUAGCGGUGAAAUGCGUAGAUAUCGUAAGGAAGACCAGUGGCGAAGGCGGGUCUCUGGACAGUUCCUGACGCUGAGGCACGAAGGUCAGGGGAGCAAACGGG